GUAGCCGACCUGAGAGGGUGAUCGGCCACAUUGGGACUGAGACACGGCCCAAACUCCUACGGGAGGCAGCAGUGGGGAAUAUUGGGCAAUGGAGGAAACUCUGACCCAGCAACGCCGCGUGGAGGAAGAAGGUUUUCGGAUCGUAAACUCCUGUCCUUGGAGACGAGUAGAAGACGGUAUCCAAGGAGGAAGCCCCGGCUAACUACGUGCCAGCAGCCGCGGUAAUACGUAGGGGGCAAGCGUUGUCCGGAAUAAUUGGGCGUAAAGGGCGCGUAGGCGGCUCGGUAAGUCUGGAGUGAAAGUCCUGCUUUUAAGGUGGGAAUUGCUUUGGAUACUGUCGGGCUUGAGUGCAGGAGAGGUUAGUGGAAUUCCCAGUGUAGCGGUGAAAUGCGUAGAGAUUGGGAGGAACACCAGUGGCGAAGGCGACUAACUGGACUGUAACUGACGCUGAGGCGCGAAAGUGUGGGGAGCAAACAGGAUUAGAUACCCUGGUAGUCCACACUGUAAACGAUGAAUGCUAGGUGUAGGGGGUAUCGACCCCUUCUGUGCCGCAGUCAACACAAUAAGCAUUCCGCCUGGGGAGUACGGCCGCAAGGUUGAAACUCAAAGGAAUUGACGGGGGCCCGCACAAGCAGCGGAGCAUGUGGUUUAAUUCGACGCAACGCGAAGAACCUUACCAGGUCUUGACAUCCACUUAAACUUACAGAGAUGUAAGGUGUGCUUGCACAAAGUGAGACAGGUGGUGCAUGGUUGUCGUCAGCUCGUGUCGUGAGAUGUUGGGUUAAGUCCCGCAACGAGCGCAACCCUU
rnacentral:rRNA from 1 species